AGGCCAAGGGAAUCGUUCGAGACAACUAAAGUCUACGGAAGUUAAACGCUAUCCGUCAGAAUUAAACAUUACUUUUUUUCUGAAUUAUUAAUUGAUCCUUGUAAGUAAGCACGAACCAUGGAUAUCGCUGCAUCCACAGAAAGCCAACACACCAAAGAACUUCAAGUCUUGGAUUAUGAGCUUCAACAUUUGCAAGAUAACAGAAAGCUGUACCUAAAUCAGCCAAACAGUAAUCUGUAUUUCCUCUGCAGUAAAGCUGAAGCUCACAGCCACUUGGAAAAGCAAAAGGAAAAGCUUUCAGAGAUGAAAAAGAAAACAUAGGAUAUUUUUUUCUUCUUUUGAAUCAAACCUUUAGUAGAUAAUUCAUUCAUUGGAAAAUCUGUAUGUCCAUGAUGUUCAAGAAUCAUUUUUAUUUAUAAGCUUAUUCCUUUGUUUUCUCUCUCUUUUUUUUCUCUUUUUCUUUGGUCAGUUUGAGUGUGAGAACAAUUUUGUAACUAGUGUAUAAGUAAAUUAGUGUGUUGACAUCAAAUUUCAGACUAAUUUUAAAAUUCUGUAAUUAUUUCAUACAUAUUUGUACCAACUGUUUUAAAACUUGGUGUAUGCUGAGAAUAAACAUUGUGAGUUAUAA